rnacentral:rRNA from 1 species
AUUGAACGCUGGCGGCAGGCCUAACACAUGCCAGUCGAACGGUAACAGGAAACGACUUGCUGUUUCGCUGUGGAGUGGCGGGCGCGGGUGAGAUGUCUGGGAAACUCUCUGAUGGAGGGGGGGAACACCUGGGAACGCUUGCUAAAACCGCAUAACGGCGCAAGAGCAAAGAGGGGGACCUCUUGGCCUCUUGCCAUAGGGUGUGAGCAGAUGGGAUUAGCUAGUAGGGGGGGUAAAGGCUCACCAAGGCGACGAUCCCUAGCUGGUCUGAGAGGAUGACCAGCCACACUGGAACUGAGACACGGUCCAGACUCCUACGGGAGGCAGCAGUGGGGAAUAUUGGAAAAUGGGCGCAAGCCUGAUGCAGCCAUGCCGCGUGGGUGAAGAAGGCCUUCGGGUUGUAAAGUACUUUUGUCGGGGAGGAAAAGAGGCAAGUUAAUACCUUUGCGCAUUGACGUUACCCAAAGAAGAAGCACCGGCUAACUCCGUG